UGGGUAAUAGCUCAGUGGGAGAGCACAUGGUUAUCAUGCAGGAGGUCCUGGGUUCAAUCCCCGGUGCCUCCA
rnacentral:tRNA from 1 species